rnacentral:lncRNA from 1 species
GCAAAGCAUGUGCGAAGCAUGUGCGUGCUUCAUCAAUAGAAUAUGUGAGUGGAUUAUUAUUAUUACUAUUAUGUAUUUUACAAAACAUUUAUGUUUGAUAGUAUGAUUUAGUAUAAUGUUAUGAUUAAAUGUACGUACAUUAUAUGAUUGACUGAGUCAUGAGAUGUAAUUGACAUGCACCAUAUGUGUACAUUUCUCCAUAGGCUCUACGCAUGCGUAUUGAGAGUUAAAUUACUCGACCCUUGUGAUGUUGUUAAUUCUACUGAGUAUUGAGAGGUUUUUCCCCCUUUUUACUCGUGCGAUGAUGAUCCCAGUGAGUAUUGAGAGUUAUUUUUCCUGUAUAUUAUUUGGUGCAAUUUUGUCAUGUGUGUAUAUACGAGUUCAUGUUUGCUUUUGUAAAGCGUUCAGUGUAAAGUUAUGUCAUACAAUUAUGACGAGCACUAAAGCACUAAUUUAUUUUUAUAUAUAAUUAUAUUCAUUCAUUGAGCCGCAAGCUUACUAUUUUCCUAUUUACCCCAUUUCUCUAAGGUGACUGAUUUGUCUAGAGCCACCACUGUCAUUCCAAAACCAAUCCAAUGGAAAGAUGUCCAUCUUCCAGAGGAAUGGAUUCUUGAAGGAGCCGCUCCACCAGCGAUUCCAAAACAACUUGAGCCUAAUACAAAGUUGCAAAAUGUGACUCAGUAUUCUGAUGAAAGAGUCAAAUUGUCAUUCAGAAGAUCUGCUUCAACUAGAUUUUCUGAUAAAGAGUCGUGCUCAAGUAUUCCUUCAUUAAGCCAAAUGGCAUUACAGUCCACUCAUACUGUCCGAAUGGAAUAGUAAAAGCAGUCUUAUAACGAUCAUUUGGGUGAAUUUGAAUUUGCCAAAAUCCAGACUUCAUGUCAAAUUUUGAAAAAAUAAGGGCAGAACACAGUUUUUGGAGUAAAUCUUUUUUAUUAGGUAUAGGAUACCUAAUCCAUCUCAAUGCUUUAUUUAAAGGUUUGUAAUUUAUUACAAGUCUUGGUGUUCCUCUUGAAUUAGGCCGAUGUGAAUAUAAUGAAGGAAUACUGCACGACUUACAUUUUGACCACGUUUAUGUUUAUAUGUAUAUUUUUGAAGUGUAUGUAUGUACAGUGAGAUAUGAACUAUGUAAGUUUUUAAUAAAAUUUUGAAUGAGGCACAUAGAUUAUUAUCUAUUUAUAACAAAGGGCAAGGCUAGUGUUAUAUAUUCCUAAAUUAAGUUUAUGUCAUGAGCUUUAGAUAUAAAAUUGCAUGAUUCACCCCAAAUCCAAUAGAAGGGUUGAGGCAGUUUGUGUCAUGUAUGAUAUGUACAUAUUUAUAUUCAAUAUAACCACCAUUUGAAUGAUAGUUUUUUAAAAUCAAUGCACAUGUGUCGUAGCAUGAUUCACUCGUUGUAUGACUAACAUAGUACUUUUGAUGUAUUCUAAAAUUUCUUCUUUAGUUAGAGGCAUUUGUUUUAAAAUUUUAUUUAAAAGAAGGUCAUUUUAAAUUUCAAAAUGUGAAGUGUAUUUUGUACAUCACUAAAGGAUGAAAUAGCCUUCAAUAUAGAUUUCUUAAUAAAUUUUAAGAGAACUAAUAGAAAGUGGUUAUCUCAUUCAUGGUUAUUAAAUCAAAAUUUGAAUUAGAUCAUCACUGGUCCAAAAUAAACUAUCGUCAUUUCAAAUUGAAGCAUGAAACCGUGAAUGGAUGCAUCUUUAAAUAAAAGGAUACAUUUUUAUUACAUAUGUCACUGUUUAAUUAGACAUAUCUUUACAGUCGGACACAUUUUUAGAGCACCAUUUAUAUUGUAAAUAUUCCAGCAUAAAAUAUGUCCCUCUCCUUAUACAAGUAUUUUGCAAAUAAUUUGCAAAUAAUACAGAGCCACCACGAGUUCAAAAAUAAUAAAACAAUAACAUUGCUCACUUGCUCGACUGGGCUGGAUUGGGCUGAUUGGGCUGGGCCUGCCAUAAGAAUGUGUAAGUACGAAGCUUUGCUUUCAUCAUCGCAUACACGGUGAGGGAAAUUGAAAUUGAUGAGGGCGCUGGCCGCUCAAUUCCUGCUUCGGAUUCCCCAACUCGGAAUAUAAUCUAUACCGUCGUACAAGUAUCGUCGGGACUUAGAAGAAUUACUUAGAAUUGACCGACGAUGAGCUGUUUCGCGAAUGCGAAAUGGACGCGUACAAAUCGUCGGGACCAGGCGGUCAGCACCGCGAUAAGCGCGAAUCCGCCGUACGUCUCAAGCACGUACCUACCGGCGUCAUAGCGCAUGCCGCCGAAGACCGAUCGCAGCACAAGAAUCGCGCGUCAGCUUUGUAGCGCCUCCGCACUCUUUUGGCCCUCAAUGUGAGGAGCAGUGUGAAUCUUGAUGCGUAUUCGCCGCCGCCACAGCUUCUUCAAAUCCUUCCUCCCAAGUCUACUAUUAGAAGUUCAGAAGUUGGUCCACAAAUUGGACCUAACAAUCCUAAAUUUGCUUUGGUAUUACUCUAUUCACUAUUGUUUUGUUUUUUGUUUACUGUUAAAAUUUAAGUCAUCGUAAUUUUUUUUUUUUUUGGUUAACUUCAGGGAAUGCAAGCUCUGCUUGAUCUAAUAUAUUACGAUAAGACUCAACCUGUUGGUUAAUUUAAAAUUGUUAUCUUCUUUCUUAUUUGGGCAACAAAUAUAAUAAGUCUGUUUUUUGUUGUGAGUGUCUGCGUCAGUGCCUGAUGGCUCAUUUUUAAGUAGCUUUAAAGCAUAUUUGGCUCUUUGUUUAUGAAUAAUGUUCAAUAGCAACCUGCUCCAUUGAUAAGAGAAAUGUAUGAUAUAAUUUUUCAAGAUACCAACCUGCAUUAUGAAUUGUUAUUGGAAGGAAGUACGACAAUAAAUUAAGAGCAAAGACUGAUUAAAAGAUGUAUCUUCAUUAUUACAUGAAAUGUAUGUUCUGCUUCUCAUUCACUUUACCAGAAUUACAAAAGUUUUAUGUUAUUGAUGGUUGGAUUGUUUCUGGGUUAUCCUAGUUAUUUUUUUUUUGUUUUAAUUGCUUUAGAUGCAUUGUGUGUGUAAUUUUUUAAUGGACAAUCUUCAUUUGAAACAUGAAAAUUUUAAAAAACUUUCCGAUUUGUGCAGGGUAUGAAGCCUCUUAAGUAGGACUUCUUUGGUGCUACUAUUGUGUUCGGCAAAUAUUUUCUUCUUUUAUUUUUCUUCUUUGAGUCACCAUAAUGGGGGUCAUGGUGAAACAACUUACUAAUCACUCUGGACAGGAAUGGGCUUCUAUAAGUAAAGCACACUUAUUUCACUCUUUCCUUAGUACUCAUCUAAAGGGGUUAUGGUUGCGACAUGCCUGGAUGGAAACAACCAAUUGUAUUCGUUAGCCAUUGAGGUUAUGGAUUCGGAAAACAAUGAUGCUUGGGAAUGGUUUAUGACGAAAUUACAUGGAGUAAUUGAUGAUACGCCGGAGUUGGUAUUUAUCUCAGACCGAUGCACCGCGAUCAAGAGAGCCGUUUUAAAAGUAUUUCGCUCAGCUGCCCAUGGUAUUUGUUUUUACCAUGUCAAAGACAAUGUUAAGUCAAAAUUCAAGAUGUCGAACUUUAGGUACAACUUUUCCUUUCCUUUUGAAGGCCCACUCCGCUGGCAUAGAGAGUAAAAAGAGUUUCUUAUAAAUAAUUUUAGGAGGAUGCUUCUGCCACGACAAGUAAUACCAUAAACAAAUGAUUUCACCACAUUUCAAGAAAGCAUUUAACUUAUGCCUCAUUUUCAUUCUAGCAAUUUGCUUGCCAUUGGCUGAUUGGAAAAAGUGCAUUUAAGUGAUAGAUAAUGUCAACCUAUAGCACGAAUAGGGGUUAAACAAAGUAAAUCCCUACCUUUACAUGUCAAAUAAAAGACUUUCAUAAUAUCAAAUAUCAAAACUCAUGUCUAGUAAAGGAUUCCCCAAUGCUGGCUCUCAAAAUUGCUUUUGUUUCAUGGAUGAGAUGAUCGAUUUUGUGGAUAUUCUGCUCAACUUGGAUUAUGACUUGGGUCAGAUCCCAACUUGCUGCAAAGCUCACCUGACUAAAUCUUAGUUGAUUUGCUUUUCCAAACUAAAUCCAAGCAAGUAAGUACAAGAGAUAAAAGCAAAAGUUCAAGCAUCUCAUUUGAGCCUGUCACUAACAAAUGGUCAAUGAGCAAUGUCUAGCUAUGACUGAGCAACAGAAUCAAUAAACAGACAGACAAAAAAUAAUAAUCAAGUCAUCAGUCAAAUGCUAGUCCAUGAAAAUCAUAUAUAUGUAUAUAUAUGUAUAUGUAUAUGUAUAUGUAUAUGUAUAUGUAUAUGUAUAUGUAUAUGUAUAUGUAUAUGUAUAUGUAUAUGUAUAUGUAUAUGUAUAUGUAUAUGUAUAUGUAUAUGUAUAUGUAUAUGUAUAUGUAUAUGUAUAUGUAUAUGUAUAUGUAUAUGUAUAUGUAUAUGUAUAUGUAUAUGUAUAUGUAUAUGUAUAUGUGUGUGUGUGUGUGUGUGUGUGUGUCUGUGUGUCUGUGUGUGUGUGUGUGUGUAUGUAUGUAUGUAUGUAUGUAUGUGUGUGUGUGUCUGUAUGUGUGUGUAUGUGUGUGUGUGUGUGUGUGUGUGUGUGUGUGUGUGUGUGUGUGUGUGUGUGUGUGUGUGUGUGUGUGUGUGUGUGUGUGUGUGUGUGUGUGUGUGUGUGUGUGUGUGUGUGUGUGUGUGUGUGUGUGUGUGUGUGUGUGUGUGUGUGUGUGUGUGUGUGUGUGUGUGUGUGUGUGUGAUCAUUCAUUUCUCAAUCAACCACCAAAUUGAUGUCAACCAAGCCAGGAGGAUUGUCUCACAAGUCUUUCAAUUUCCCUCUCUUUAGGCCAGAGACCAGUAAACCAUUUGAAAUAUGGAUGUGCAAACCAGUAAAUAAAUCAUGAAGUUACACACUAGUCUGCUUUCGCACUCAUUCAGAACUAUCAAUGAUACUUACUGCAGGUACGGUGUAUACAUUAUACUAAAGUGAAGGCUGGAUCAAUAAGAAAUUCAAAAUGUUUCAUCACAUUUGGGGCUUGAUGAUGCCAAAAAAAGACCAUACCAAUUAUGAUGAACAGUAAAAUGUGAACAAGAACAAGCAUACAUUUAAGAAAGCAGAGAAGCAUCAUUAAAAUAAAGCAUUCUUCUUACUAUUCUAUGUUGUUGGAACAUGGACCAAAAUAAAAAAGGAACCAUAUAUGGUUAACGUCACAACAAGAGUGUUUGUGCAUUUGUACAUCAUAGGAUAUUGGGAAGACAUCAGCAGAGAAGUGCAAAUUUUUUUUUUUUUUUGAGGAAAGGAACAAAGAAGUGCAAGUCAAAAAAGAGAAAAAAUGAAAACAGAGAGAUCAAAAGGAAUGCGAUCUAAUUAAUCGUCUAAGGAGACUACUAUGCUACAUUUAGCCAUUGGUUGAAUAGGCAGCUUGUUUUCUAGUACAACUUUAAAUUUUCCAAGAUUUAGAAUUUUC